rnacentral:tRNA from 1 species
AUUAAAAUGGCAGAUUAGUGCUAUAACUUUAAGCGUUAUAUAUGAAUUAUAUUCUUUUAAUA